GAAUCCUCUGCAUUGGCGUCUGCACCCAAGACUUGGUGGGGAGAGUAGGCGUCAGAGCACGAGUUUGCGCUCAGCUCCUCAAUGGUGGGCGCAGGAACUCGGGAGCCUGCGCAAUCGGCUCCCACCGUUCCGAAGACCCAGAUGCGGGAAGACUAGCGCUCCGUCCCCUGCGCAUUCUUGGCUCCGGCCCUCUCAUCCCGGGGACCCUCAGCGCGUCUGGCUUCUCCUGGGGCCGCGCUCUGCCCAUUCGUGCUUCCGUCCUCCCCCGAAUAUCCAAUCUUCCGCUGCCUGGUUCCUCCUAGGUUCAGACGACUUACGCCGAGACCUGUGCCUCUUCGGGACGCUGCCCCCCAUCUGUCCUUAUUCCCACAAACACAUUAUUUUCCCUCGUAGACACCUAGCCUUGAGGCCCCCCGACUUCUCCUGCAAAUGCUCUCUGACCCUACCCGCACCCCCCCCCCCAUUUCCUUCUGACCGUGGAGACUAAAGUCGCUGCAGCCCCCUGGGCAGCUGUUGACAUUAGGAAAGUGGGGAUUAGCCUGAGGCUCCCCCGAAGCUCCCAGGCCACAGCAGGCGCUGCAUUCUCUUGGCCUCUGGGAACGUAGCUACUGAAGCCGGAUGGUUGUGCGGGCGAUCGCUCUCCACCCGCUGGCUAGCAGGAUCUGCAAAGCCCUCCUCCGCAUUGGACAGCAGCCAGCGGGGCCUGCCCCUGGGACGCCUCCUCAAUUUCCCCCUCCCUUAGGCCACUUUCCACCCACACCUUUUGGAAUUUCAGGCCCUCCGCUUUUUUGACAUGAGCCUAGUCCCAAAGCUUGGAGAAGUGAGCUGUAUGUAAGGUGUGGGCGGGCACUGCGCCUACCUCACAGAUUUAAGAAUUAAAUGUGAACUGUGAAGAGCAGUAGGCACUCAAGGAAUUUAGCUGAUUUUUAUUAUUCUUGGUGUUCAUUGUAUCCCCAUACAACUGAAACCUUUUCCAAUCAUAUGGAGCUGACCCACAAAACAUAUUGUGCAUCUCUGCGCUUUUCCACAUUCAUUAUCAUCACUUUUCUUUAAAGAGUGUCCAGUUUGUUUUGGCAGACAAUUAGCUUUCUGUUGAAAUCCGUGCCCCUAUGGAAGCCUGGCUAAGGCAGGAGUCUUUCAUUUCUGUGUUAAUCAUUGGCUAUACCGCUUAGUCCUUGGACUUGGUACUUAACAUCUAAGGUAUAGUCUUCUGAAGAUUUCAGUGUAAACAGCGUUUACCAGGGCCCUCUAAUUUUGCGGAUUCUGAACUCCAGGCUUGGUUCCCCAAAAACUGUAGUGGCUGCCAAAAUCCCUGUUCAGACAUUUGGCUUUCCCAUUAGGUUACGUGAUACCUCACCAUAUGCAAGUUGUAUUUAGAACAUAGCUAAUGUUUUGAAGGGAAUGUGUGGGGAUUUAGAUUUCUCAUUUCCCAAAUUUCUUCCUCAAUUUCUGGUUGCUCAGACAUUUCUGAACUCCCAACUCUGCUUCUCAGCCAGCAAGACUGCCACUUACUAAGCCCCCCCCCCCAUACGCUAUAAUGGACUGCAGAAUAUCUUUAGGGAAAAAUCUUGUCCAGUAUGGACCUCACUAGGUGUCCCUGACACUGGGAGCCACCAAAUGGAGCCAACCCAUAGCUCCUCAGAGUUCAGAGUUCGGGUGGCCCCUCUCCAAGAUGGCUACUGGCCAAUGGCCCUCUCCAGGGGGUCAUCUGAAUCCAAAUAACCCAGUCAUUGCAGCCCACUGCAUCUGCUGUCCAUUCUCCUGGUGCGUUUCUCCAUGGAGGCCUCUGGGGUUGCCAGUAGUCGGCCUGUGUCUGCAGGUUUGAGCUGACCUCUCCCACACCAUGAGUCAGAGCUCAGGGAGAAAGGGACACCUGUCGCUCCUUCUUCUGUGUUGACCCGUCUUCUUUGCUUUCCCCGUGGGCUUCAUUUCCCUUUUCCGGUCCUUGCUGGGUCCUCAGGGUGCACUUCUCUUCCUCAUGCUGCUAUAUUUCAGCAUCUGCACAUCGAAUCUCAAAGAGGCUGCUUCUCUGCUUGCCACUCUGCCAUUUCCCCAGAAGUCCAGGAAUUGUAAGCUUAUAUGACCAUCACUGACUGUGUGCUACACGUGUUAUUUUUAAAUGCUUUAUAGAAAUAAUGUAUGUGUGAUGCAGCUUUAAGAAGUAUAAAGCUCCAAGAUAAAAGGGAACUUAAGGGACCCUCGGUGAGUUAAGCACAAAUAUGGGUGCCCAUGACUUCCAUUUAAGACUUCAGUCUACCAGAGGUAUAAUUAUCAAAAUGAUAUUUGUGUACCACACUAAUAAUGCCCUUAUUCUUGGUACUCAUUUAAUAAAGAUUGAAUAAUGUUGAAACACCCUCAGAAAAGCAAA